rnacentral:rRNA from 1 species
AUGCCACCAUCUCAUUACGGUGCCAGACAAGUAGACAAGGCCGCUGCUGCUGCCAAGCCGGAAAUGGGGCUGAAUCACUUUGUUCGCUUCGUCGCGCUGAUCGAGAGGCUUGGCAAUGCCUUGGGCACGCUGGCCUUCACGUGGGCGACUGUUGUCCUGCUCGGAGGCUACUCCAAGGAUCUCAGUUUGGAUCAUGAUUUUUGGUAUGCAGCAGCGAUAGUAUUCCUCGAAGCUAUAAGGAUGUUCACCCGCAACAACAGAAUGGAUUACCAACUGUUCUUUAACACAAGGGGAGCCUUUAGACCUAUGGGAUGGAAUGGACUGGUUGUGGUACUAUGCUUUUUUGAUGUUUUCGUGAUCCUCUGGAGGAAAUAUUAUAUGACUGAUAUGACGCUUCUAGCGAUGGUAAUAAUACUUGCAACUGUCCGGUUCCUGUCCGGGCUGAAACUGCACAUAUGGAAACCGCUAAGCCGUGCCACAUCGCUAUGGAGCCCCUUGGUUGCAAUUUUACUCACGGCUCCCCCUCUAUCAGCUUGUAUUAAUAAAUACACAUAUGAUGGUGAUGAUCAUGAUCCAUACAACAGAUGGAUAGGCCUGAUCAGUUGGAUUGUAUUCACAACACUACUGGUGCCAGUGCUAUUGGUAACAAUAAGCAGGCUACGGUUCACCAGAGUCAUUAAACUAGCGGAUAGUAUUCUUGGCAGCAAACAGGAAUUUUGGCACCGAGUUGUUAUAAACUUGUGCAUGAUUGCUGCGCUAGGGAUGCAGGUGUACAUCCUACAGUUAGGUCAACCCACGAACAUCCUUGUUAUCUUGAUAGUUCAAGCGUGUGCCUUGGUGGUGGUGUCAUUUGGCAACUUCCAGGUUCCAGCAGCAGUGGUGCGUAUCUGGCUAGCAAGCUUGGGCUUACAGCAUGAGUACAAGGAUGAUCAAGAGAACCUGAAAGCAUCUCUCAGAAUUUUCUAUUGGAUGGUGCUUGGGCAAGGAGUCCUCUACGCUGUGGCUUGCAUGCUCGAGUUAUUUUCUUUCAUCCCUCGGAGAUUCCUUGUCCAUUGUGGUGGGUUUAGAGGUUACUGGGGAGUGAAAUCUGUCGAUCUGUACUAUGCGUACGCCUUGGAGAAAUGCAUGCAGGAGGGUGUGCUUGCUCCAAAGAAGAUCAGCCUGAGUAACUUUGCCAUGGAUUCUCUAAACUCGGAUUCAUCCAAGAAUCAGAUCUAUGGUAUUCAGAUGAUGCCCAGCUUUCUGCAAAGGGAGCCAACCAAGGCACAACUACUUUCAAAACUCGCCACUUCUACCAAGACAGUGGCCAGAAUAAUUAGCAUGUUGGAUUGGACAAGUCCAAAGGAUACAACUAUCAGAUUAUAUGCUGCGAAGGUCACCGCUGAACUUGCAAAGGACCUCCGUGUCGUCACUUUCCCCGGUACAAUACAGCUUGUGUCCGCACUUCUUGAUGCUGACAGUGGAACAAAAAGAGGAAAUCUGCUUCUGGACACAGAUGAUGAACAAGAAAAACAAGACCAAUUUCUGGAAGAUGGCCAAGAGCAACAUACAGUAAGGGAUGUAGCUGAUAACCAAGGGCAAAGACGAGAACAACUUCAAGACACCGAUAACCUGCUCGAGGAAACACAAGCCUGCUCAACCCAACAAGCCUGCAAUGACAAGCCAAAUUCUUACAUACUCAAAUGCUGGCAGCAUAUUUUAGAAUUAUGUUCGGUUCCCAAGGAGCAGCUACCGACAGACCAUGAUCUUCUCCCUGCACUGGCCAUGUCAAUUAUUGAAAGUCUUGCUGGUUGUGAUCAGGAAAACUGUGUGCAAAUCAGCAAUGCAGCUAACCUCAUCCCGAAGAUCAUAGGAUUCACAAGAUUCAGACAUGCCAUGAACACUGUGGAUACCGAAACACAACAAAAGCUCCUGCUUAAGUCAUCACUGACAGUGCUGCAAAGACUCGCAAGCAUUGGUGGGGAAAUCGGCAUAACACUGCGGUACAAGAUAUCAAAACAUCCCUUGCUAUUGAGAAACCUUGCAGAAACCUUGGAAUACAACGGGAGCAGCCAGGAAUUGAUAAAGUUGGUGGCAGGAAUCCUCAGGAACAUUGCCAUUGAUGGGAACACAAGGCAGGAGAUUGGUCGCAUUCAACUGAUCAUCAUUAGGCUGACGCAGACAUUUAUCAAUGGAGAAGGAACCAUGAGUACCAAUGCUGAUCACUUAUCACGGAAGGUCACCGGGCAAGCACUGGCAAUGCUCACAACAGAAAGUGUCCAAAAUUGCUUGAUUGUGUUGAAGGAACCAGAGUUCAUUAAGAAACUCAAACCUAUGAUCUCGAUCCAUGGCAAGUACAUAUAUGUGGCAGCAAGCCUGUUGCGCAAUCUGUGCCUACACGCUCAACCCGAGCUCAGAGAGUCAGACCUGAAGGAACUAUCUCAUACCUUGAGAGAGGUGUUGGAAAAAAUAAUUGAUGUGGAAGGGGCAGAACUAGAGAUCCUCAUUGGCCUUAGUUCACAGAUUUGUAGAAUCAUCCCCAAAGACUUUACCGAAGAACUAGAGGGCGGUCAGAUUAAGCAGAGAUUCGUGAAGAGGCUGAUUGAUGCGUUGAAUGCAAACAUGGAACCUAGUGCUCAUUGUCCUGGGAUCAGAAGGGUGAUACUUGAGCAAGUCAUUAACAUGGUGGAGUGCAAUUAUCACUAUGCAAACUGUUUCAACGAAUUCAGGAUGACAGAAGCCCUAUCAGUGGUAGAACAAACACUGUCGAAGGCUGAGGACUACAAACUCUUAUUGGGUGAUGCAGGUCUCAUGGAGUACAGCACCCCUAUCUCCGCCCUUGUGGCAAGAGCAAAAGAGCUAGUGACUGACUGCGAUUCAAUCGUAGAUGGUAGGAUUUCUGAACAAAGUUGA